rnacentral:rRNA from 1 species
AUGUGGAGGCUGAAGAUCGGCGAGGGCAGCAGGCCGUGGCUGCACUCGGCCAGCGGCUUCCUGGGCAGGCAGGUGUGGGAGUUCGAUCGCGACGCCGGCACGCCGGAGGAGCGCGCCGAGGUCGAGAGGCUUCGUGAGGACUUCACCAAGCACCGCUACCACAAGCGGGAGUCGCAGGACCUCCUCCUACGCUUGCAGUUUGCAAAAGGGAACCUCCUCCCGGCCAACAUUCCAACCACGAGGGUCGUCGAAAAGGGUACACAGGUAGUCACGGAGAAAAUGAUAACGACUUCACUGAGGCGUGCUCUUCAUCAAUAUUCUACUCUCCAAGCACACGAUGGACACUGGCCUGGUGACGUCAGUGGACUCAUGUUCAUUAUGCCUAUGCUUAUAUUCUCUUUAUAUGUUACUGGAUCACUUAACAUCGUCCUAUCAUCAGAACAUCAACGUGAGAUACGCCGCCACAUUUACAAUCAUCAGAACGAGGAUGGCGGUUGGGGAACACAUGUUUGGGGACCUAGUAGCAUGUUUGGAUCAUGUUUAAAUUAUGUAGCCUUAAGGCUUCUUGGCGAGAUGCUAGACGGUGAUAAUGAUGUAUUAACCAAAGGGCGUGCUUGGAUUUUAUCUCACGGAAGCGCAACUGGAGUACCGCAGUGGGGAAAGAUAUUUCUCUCGAUAAUUGGUGUCUACGAUUGGUCGGGCAAUAAUCCAAUCAUUCCUGAGUUGUGGUUGCUUCCAUACUUUCUUCCAAUUCAUCCAGGACGAUUUUGGUGCCAUUGUCGGUUAGUAUAUAUGUCAAUGGCAUAUCUUUAUGGGAAGAGAUUUGUUGGGCCCAUUACUCCAACAAUAAUGGCACUACGAGAGGAGCUCUACAACAUACCUUAUGACAAUGUUGAUUGGGGAAAGGCGAGUAAUUAUUGUGCCAAGGAGGACCUUCACAACCCCCGCUCACAAAUGCAAAAUAUUGUAAGUUUUUGUCUUAACAAGUUUGUGGAGCCAAUGUUAAAUUGGUGGCCAGCAAACAAGUUAAGAGGAAGAGCUUUGAGUAAGCUUAUGGAACAAAUUCAUUAUAAUAAUGAAAUAACUGAAUACAUAACCAGUAGUCAUGUUGACAAGAUACUGAAUAUGAUCUGUUGUUGGGUGGAAAAUCCAAAUUCAAAUGCAUUCAAGAAACAUCUUCCAAGAGUUUAUGAUCAUCUGUGGAUUGCAGAAGAUGGAAUGAAGGCUAAGAUUUGUGAUGGCUGCCAGAGCUGGGAGACGCCAUUCAUAGUUCAAGCAAUUUGCUCAACAGAUCUUAUAGCUGAAUUUGGCCCAACUAUAAAAAAGGCUCAUGAGUUCAUGAAAAACUCACAGAUUCUUGGAAACUUCCCGAGUUAUGAAAGUUUUUAUCGCCAUAGAUCAAAAGGUUCAUGGACCCUUUCAACUAUAGACCAUGGUUUGUCUAUAUCUGAUUGUACUGCAGAAACUCUUAAGGCAUUGCUAUCAUUAUCAAAGAUUUCUCCCAAUCUUGUUGGUGACCCAAUAGAAGAACAAAGGGUUUACGAUGCCAUCGAGUUUCUCCUUUCUUUGAUGAAUAAAGAUGGUUCUUUUUGCGCAUAUGAACAUAGAANNNNNNNNNNNNNNNNNNAGAUUCUUAAUCCUUCUGAGAGUUUUAAGAACAUUGUCAUCGAGUAUCCAUCUUGUGAAUGCACUGCAUCGGUGGUUGAUGCUCUAAUAUUAUUCAAAGAGCUAUACCCACAGUACCGCGGUGAUGAGUUAGGAAAAUGUAUAAAAGGCGCUGCUAAGUUUAUUGAAGGAAAACAACUGAACGAUGGCUCGUGGUAUGGCAGUUGGGGUAUUUGUUUCACGUAUGGAACCUUGUUUGCGAUAAAAGGAUUAAUUGCUGCUGGAAGAAAUUAUCACAAUAGUUCUUCUAUCAGGAAAGCAUGCAAUUUUUUGUUGUCAAAGCAACAAAGUACUGGUGGAUGGGGAGAAAGCUAUCUUUCUAAUUAUACUGGGGAGUACGUUGACAGUGGCACUCCUCACACGGUGGAGACUGCUUGGGCAAUGCUAGGUUUAUUCUAUGGUGGGCAGACUGAAAUAGAUCGGGUACCACUAUACCGUGCAGCGCAAGUAUUGAUGAGCAUGCAGCUAGACACGGGCGAGUUUCCCCAGCAGGAGCAUGUUGGAUCCGCCAACUCUGCCUUCUACUUCAACUAUCCCAACUACCGCAACUUAUACCCUAUCAUGGCUCUUGGAGAGUUUCGUCGCCGACUUGUUGCAAGCGACUGA